GGUUAAGUUACAAAGGGCGCACGGUGGAUGCCUUGGCACUAGGAGCCGAUGAAGGACGGAACUAAUACCGAUAUGCUUCGGGGAGCUAUAAGUAAGCUUUGAUCCGGAGAUUUCCGAAUGGGGGAACCCAGUACACAUCAGUGUAUUGCUUGUCAGUGAAUACAUAGCUGGCCGGCGGCAGACGCGGGGAACUGAAACAUCUCAGUACCCGCAGGAAGAGAAAGAAAACUCGAUUCCCAUAGUAGCGGCGAGCGAAGUGGGAAGAGCCCAAACCGAGAAGCUUGCUUCUCGGGGUUGUAGGACUGGACAUUGGAGUUACCAAAGUCCGACGUAGUCGAAGUCAGCUGGAAAGCUGCGCCACAGAAGGUGAAAGCCCUGUAAGCGAAACGUCGAACCCUCCGUCCAGGAUCCUGAGUACGGCGGAACACGUGAAAUUCCGUCGGAAUCCGGGAGGACCAUCUCCCAAGGCUAAAUACUCCCUAGUGACCGAUAGUGAACCAGUACCGUGAGGGAAAGGUGAAAAGCACCCCGGAAGGGGAGUGAAACAGUUCCUGAAACCGUGUGCCUACAAUUAGUCAAAGCCCGUUAAUGGGUAAUGGCGUGCCUUUUGUAGAAUGAACCGGCGAGUUACGUUUGCUUGCGAGGUUAAGAUGAAAAGUCGGAGCCGUAGCGAAAGCGAGUCUGAACAGGGCGAAUGAGUAAGCAGAUGUAGACCCGAAACCAAGUGACCUACCCAUGACCAGGUUGAAGGUGUGGUGAAACACACUGGAGGACCGAACCCAUGUAUGUUGAAAAAUGCUGGGAUGAGUUGUGGGUAGCGGUGAAAUUCCAAACGAACUUGGAGAUAGCUGGUUCUCUCCGAAAUAGCUUUAGGGUUAGCCUCGGAGGAUGGAUCAUGGAGGUAGAGCACUGUUUGAACUAGGGGCCCAUCAAGGGUUACUGAAUUCAGAUAAACUCCGAAUACCAU
rnacentral:rRNA from 1 species